rnacentral:piRNA from 1 species
UGCAUAGGUUCCUGGCACUCCCAUCCUCUG